rnacentral:lncRNA from 1 species
AAGGAGCCAGGAACUCCUUGAAGGUUCAUAAACCCUAAUCAUGAAGAUCACCAAAUUGAGGGGUUAAUUGUAGCUCAAAUUCAAGAAGGAACAUGGACUAAUGAUCACCUAAGUAUUUCCUACAUCAAAAUUGGAAUCACACGAGCAUGGGCCAAGCACGAAGGCUAACGGGUCAAGAUGAGGCAAGCGGUUACGAGCACGGAUGCACAAGGUACUACACGGACUUCUUCUGCUGCUAAGGAAGUGAAGCGGACGUAGAUCGAGUC